rnacentral:ncRNA from 15 species
GAUGUAGCGCAGGUUGGUAGCGCGUCUGCUUUGGGAGCAGAAAGUCACAGGUUCAAAUCCUGUCAUCC